rnacentral:pre_miRNA from 1 species
GCAAGAGUUAUUAUCAUACGUAGCACUAGCCAAAUGGAGAAAUAUCGGUCAGUGCUCGUGUAAUAAUAACUUUUGUUCGU